rnacentral:lncRNA from 1 species
CUUAAUUAAAUUUAAGAGGUUUCAGCUGUAGGCUUUAAUUUUAAUAUUGUGUCAAGACACUCUGCAUUUUAACUCUAUGCCAAUCUUUCUAUUUUAUUUUAUUUCUUCAGGAUCAUGUCUGCAUAGACUGUCUUCAAGAUUUUAUCCAAAAAUUUGCAAGACUGCAGAUUUUUCUUCUAGGAAAGUUCAGGAGAUGGACAGAGCAAUGUGCCUGUAUGACAGCCUUAUUUCGGUAAAAUGUGGGCUCACUGGAGGUGACCAAGAAGUUGUCAGCAGGUCUUACUCUGCUAUUGAAGUUGCAUGCUUCAGUCAAGACAAGAAUUAG